rnacentral:rRNA from 1 species
UACGAAGGGGGCUAGCGUUGUUCGGAAUUACUGGGCGUAAAGGGUUUGUAGGCGGUCUUUUAAGCCAGUGGUGAAAGCCCGGGGCUUAACCCCGGAAUUGCCAUUGGUACUGGAAGGCUAGAGAGUGUUAGAGGAAAGUGGAAUUCCUAGUGUAGGAGUGAAAUCCGUAGAGAUUAGGAGGAAUAUCGAUGGCGAAGGCAGCUUUCUGGGACAUUUCUGACGCUGAGAAACGAAAGCGUGGGUAGCAAACAGG